rnacentral:lncRNA from 1 species
UUUUUUCUCUUAUCCUUUAAUGACGCAUAACCGUGAUUUGUCCCUGUCACGCAGAACUGAAGGAAGACUCUAGGAUCAAUUAGGAUGUUGAUCUCUCAUGGAUGGAGGUUUCCUAGGGUUGUAACAACCUUCCUCGGCUGCUCGUGAUGGACCAGAUCUGCCUUCUCCGACUAAACUCUAUCUCAAUGAAGUAUAAUGUCGAGAAGUGCAUGUUCGUGUCCAGUCUUCGGAAAUGUCAAAAAGCUAGUAUUCAUUUAUUGAUGUUUUGCCUUUUUCUUCUGCCUUUUUCUUUUUCAUUUUCCUUGUGUUUAUCUUUAACUUGAUUUGUUUUUGUUUUUUCAGCUUCUUCUGUCAAUGGAUAAAAUCAAGCCUCCCAAGAACUUUACCAUGUCCAGAGAGAACAUGAAGGCCACACUGGAGGCCUUUAAGGUUGGUCGAUCAGUGGCGGACAUGACCCGCGAGAUUUUCCACGCCAUUUCGCACUACUGCGGCAGGCAGGGGCAGGUUCUCGCUCUGCAGCUUCUAAGGCCUCCGCUCAGGGCAAAGCUCUAGGCUCCUCUAAG